UUUUAUCCAGAAGCUUCUGCCUUUCCUUUUCCCAGCUGAUCUCUUUGUUGGCCAUUUGCUCCUUCAGAGCAGCAUUUUCUGAGGCCAGCUGCCUGUGUACUGAUUUUGAGUCUUUAAGGGCUCGUCGCAGAGCGUGCAGGGCUCUGCCUGGAGAAUGCUGUGAGCACUGAAAGACACAAAUAUACAUGCAAUACGUAAAAAUAUUGUCCCGUGUUAACUUUGAAUACACAGAAAAAGAGGGGAUCUUUCACACAUCUGAAGCUAUCUGUAGUAAAAGAGCCCUACAUCACUGGCAGCAAAAUGAAAUGUCCCUCAUUCACAGCUUCAGCAAAAACAGUCAAAUUCUCAAUUUACUAUUGAGUAAUAGUAUUUCAGUAAAAUGUUGUUUUGUGUUUCACUUAAAUAUAGUCAAAAUAGAAAUAUCCUCAAGCCAACUGCACAAUAUCCAGAAAUGUCUUGUAAACUACAGCGACACAAAGUCUGUCACCUUGUGUCCCCGACUCACAGUAAACACAUUACAGCAAUGAUGUUGUAAAACUCUAAACACUGAAAACAUUAUGACAUUGUACAGUUCACAUGUCUCAAUACAACACAUUCAUGUAAAUUAGAAACUAAAUAUAAAGAAACUCAGUCAGCUCACUGGCCAGACCUCUGAAUCGCUGCCCUCUCUUCAAAAAUAUUUAUAAAUACUAUAUUUGUUGAAGCUUUGGACAAAAGAUGUAGUGUCUCCUGGUUCAGAAAAUCUUACCUCGUCUCUUGAGUUUGUCUCCAUGUUGGCUGAACACAGGGAUCGGUGUUGGAGAUAUACUACUGUAGUGUUGCUUGUGGUUGUAGUGUACCUUGGGUGGUUGUGUACCGCAGGUUUUGACGUCUUUGGUUCUAGUCGAGAUCUAAUUUCUGUAGUUUUGGUCUGUUGACACUGGGAGAUGUUUCUCUGUUGGAGGUCAGGUUGCAUCUAACUGGAGUUUGUCAGGAGGCUUUAAUCCAACAGAACAUUCUGUUGGACAUUCUGCAUGAUGUCAUAACGGGCUCCAUAUUGUGUCAUCAAAGGUUUCAGAGUGGGACGACGGUCAUCAAAGGUUUCAGAAUGAGAUGACAUCACAUGAAUUCAGUGUUCUCCUUGUCACAAGGCAGGCCAGACCUUUUCACCUUGUACGAUAAACUAUACGCUUUCUACUUGAAAAAUUAAAAGUACAAAAAGCACAAGUGCAGGUUCCACUAAUAUCGCCCAAGAUGUCUUAUAUAAUAUAAUCACUAUAGGUCUUUUUUUAACAUCAUAAUAUAGAAUAUUAUAAUUUCUCUAUACAGAUGCAAAAAAACUUGAACACAUCAAUGCUCUUAUUUUAAUGGGAUAUAUUCUGAACUCACACACACUUUGCAGUUUACAUGAGUGCAUCCAAAGGGAGUGUGUAUUUGUAAUAAUAAGUCUGACCCUGUUUUCCACCUCAGAUAUCCAGAUACUUAAACCAUCAACAUCACUCUCACGACAUGCUGAACUGCAAAACACAAUGCCAUACUGGUCCUGGAUCUGUCGCAGAGAUAUAAAAUAUCCAGAUACUUAAACCAUCAACAUCACUCUCACGACAUGCUGAACUGCAAAACACAAUGCCAUACUGGUCCUGGAUCUGUCGCAGAGAUAUAAAGUAAGCCAUAUUAGCUAC